CAGUCGCCACGGAAUACGAAGGGGGCUAGCGUUGUUCGGAAUUACUGGGCGUAAAGCGCACGUAGGCGGAUACUUAAGUCAGGGGUGAAAUCCCAGAGCUCAACUCUGGAACUGCCUUUGAUACUGGGUAUCUUGAGUAUGGAAGAGGUGAGUGGAAUUCCGAGUGUAGAGGUGAAAUUCGUAGAUAUUCGGAGGAACACCAGUGGCGAAGGCGGCUCACUGGUCCAUUACUGACGCUGAGGUACGAAAGCGUGGGGAGCAAACAGGAUUAGAUACCCCGGUAGUCCCUGUCUCUUAUACA
rnacentral:rRNA from 1 species